rnacentral:lncRNA from 1 species
GAAAGUGAUUUUAGGGUUCAGAUGGAUUUUUAGAGGAAUGAAGGGUUUAGGUAGAUAGGGUUUUGGAAUUGGAGGGAAUAAAAUUUUACAAUUGGAAAAAAAAUUAGUCUAAAAUUGUUAGAGAGAAGAAAUGUAAAAAAAAAAAAAAUAGAAAAUGAAGGAAGAAAAUAUCUUAUUAUUUGAAGAUGUUAUAAACCCC